AGAGCGAACGCUGGCGGCAGGCCUAACACAUGCAAGUCGAACGGACCCUUCGGGGUUAGUGGCGGACGGGUGAGUAACACGUGGGAACGUGCCUUUUGGUUCGGAAUAGCUCCUGGAAACGGGUGGUAAUGCCGAAUGUGCCCUUCGGGGGAAAGAUUUAUCGCCAUUAGAGCGGCCCGCGUCUGAUUAGCUAGUUGGUGAGGUAAAGGCUCACCAAGGCUACGAUCAGUAGCUGGUCUGAGAGGAUGACCAGCCACAUUGGGACUGAGACACGGCCCAAACUCCUACGGGAGGCAGCAGUGGGGAAUCUUGCGCAAUGGGCGAAAGCCUGACGCAGCCAUGCCGCGUGAAUGAUGAAGGUCUUAGGAUUGUAAAAUUCUUUCACCGGGGACAUAAUGACGGUACCCGGAGAAGAAGCCCCGGCUAACUUCGUGCCAGCAGCCGC
rnacentral:rRNA from 1 species